rnacentral:tRNA from 1 species
GUGGUUGUGGCUCAGUGGCAGAGCACUUGCCUAGCAUGUGUGAGGCACUGGGUUCGAUUCUCAGCACCAUA